rnacentral:rRNA from 1 species
ACACGACUACAUUAGAUACCCGUGUAGUCCUAGCCGUAAACGAUACUCGCUAGGUGUCGGCCACGGUGCGACCGUUGUCGGUGCCGUAGGGAAGCCGUGAAGCGAGCCACCUGGGAAGUACGGCCGCAAGGCUGAAACUUAAAGGAAUUGGCGGGGGAGCACCACAACGGGUGGAGCUUGCGGUUUAAUUGGAUUCAACGGCCGGAAAUCUUACCGGGACCGACAGCAACAUGAAGGCCAGGCUGAAGACUUUGCCGGAUUAGCUG